rnacentral:lncRNA from 1 species
CGGGGUUUUAGGCCUCUGCUGUUCCCAUCCAGCCCCCACCCUAAGUGACACCAGGUGCCAAAGGCUUCAGGGAGAGUGGCAGCCUCAGGAAAAGGGGCUGAGGGCCGGGGAUUUAGCUCAGAGGUGCCGCCACCGGCCUCACAAGCGCAAGGUCCCAAGUUCGAUCCCCUGUACCACAAAGAUAAAAACAAAAGAGGGCUGAGCCUGGGACCCUGAACCCCAAAACCGGGAGUGCCCCCCUCCUCUGCGGAUAGCUGGAGUUCUGAGCUCAGCCCCUUCUCCGGCUGCUUCCAAAGCGCUCGGUUUCUGCACCGCUCCCCCUCACCUUCUUUGUCGCAGUCACCAUGGCAACCAGGAACCCAGCUGUACUUUAUUUCCCAGAUAGAGCCGCGAGAGGGGUGGGGAAUGGGAAACCAAUGUUCCUCCCCUCUCCCUCCUCCAUGGGUCUAGUUCUGCCCUGGGCCAGCUCCCUGGUCUGAGUUUCUGGGUCAGUCAUGAGUUUGGGGGAAAAGAAAAUGGCAUUAUUUCCGCUUCUGGGAUCAAAGAUGCCCAACUGCAGCCCUCUUCGGCCGCCUGUCCCCUGCCGGGCCCACUGUCCCCCUCUGUCCCGGUGCCCACAGCAGCAGCCUGCCUGUCCACAGGUAUCGACGUGCCUCUUCUCUCUACGUUUGUUAAAAUUCCAAACCUCCCCACAACUCAAACAUUUCUCUUAUUAUCUUCUGCCGAGGGAAAAAAAUUAAUAACACGGCACAAUAUAAAAUACUAAAUUAAAGGCAUUUUGGAACCAGCAAU